UCUCCUGGUUUGUGAAAUGGACUUGAUUCGUAUUUCACGUAGCUGACCAAAGGAUGUAUGAAGCAUUCAGCCCAACGCCUGCCAAAUGAUAAUGCUCUUGGAAACAUACGGAUUUUGGUGCUUCAGCUUCUUCUCUGUUCCUCAGUUUCCCUCGCUGAGAUCAUCAGUGACCUGCUACUUUCUAAAUCUCGUAUUUUCUCAUCUGUAGCCAACCUCAACAACAACAAAAAGGAGUUCUUUAUGGCGAAGUCCGACCAUCCUAGGCCUCUUGAGAGUUACUCCUUCCUUUUUGGAAUGAAUGCCCUGUGGGCAGGAUGGCUGAAAACCAGAGGAUAGUCCCUGCAGAGUCCUGUGCUUCUGAAGAAACACUCUUAUUAUGAAAGCUGUAUCGAAGCAGCGUCACAGAGGAAGAUGCUGUUACAACAGCUGGUGCUGUUCGCCGUCUUUAGAAGGAGCAAACCUUCCAAGAGCUGUUUUUCUUUACAUCAAGAAGUGCAUUUCUCACUGGUGGGCAAGAGAGCCCCGCGAAGGGAAACAGCCCUGCUUUGGGAAGAGGAGUACUCACCCCACCGUGAAGAAUGGCAGGGUAUCUCAGGAGGGAAGCUCACGGAAAGAAGGAAACCCAUCCUGUUGACCGGUGGUUAGUCUUCACGUGGAUCGCUGCCGGGUAUAGUUGGCUUGCGGUAAACAGUUGGGCCAUCAGUGGACGAACAGACAGGUCAUCGCCCUCCCCCGCGCCGUGAAGGUGAUUUUGUGGCAGCUGGACUGUGCCUCACUCAGGUGCCGUAACUCCCGAGUCCAGUGUCACUGCCUUUCCCUUUGGUCGCCCUCGUCCGCCUCCAUGAUCACUGCCCAGCAGCACUGCCUCCCACUCACGUCACUUGCUGUCACUUUGUCUAGGUCAUUUCCUUCAACCUUUCCUCUGGGGAGUCCCCUUAGAGCCUCAGCCUUUUUCUGGGCAUCUCCACUGUGCUCUUUUAAUUAAAAAAAAAAAAUGUUUUUGGCUAGCUUUAUUAAGGUGGAAAUGGCAAACCGAAGUUGUAUAAGUUUAGGUUGUACAGUGUGAUUUUUUUGAAGGUGUACAAUGUGAUGACUUCAUAUAUGUAUACAUUUUUCAGUGGCGAGAACACUUAAGAUCUACUCUCGGCAGAUUUCAAGCAUACAAUAUAGUUUUAUUUACUGUAGUCACCCUGCUGUACCUUAGGACCCCCCAAUAUAUUCUUCUUAUAACUGAGUUUGUUCUCUUUAGCCAACAUUUCCCCGUAUCUCCCAAGCCCGCGGCAACCGCUGUUCUACUGCCUGGUUCUGUGAGUCCAACUCUUUCGGAUUCUACACAUAAGUGAGACCAUACAGUAUCUGCCUUUGUGUCUGGCUUAUUUCACUUAGCAUAAUGCCCUCCAGGUUCCUCUAUGUUGUGGCAAAUGGCAGGAUUUCCUUCCCUUUCACUCUUCAUCAUAAUAGAAACACCUUCUUUCCCAUCUGGACCUAGCCUCUGAAUGUCAGAGACUGUAACUAGUGUCCAAGGGCAGUGACCCAGAAAAGCCCACAAUAGCAUCCUUGUUACUGCAGAAGCUCCCGUGAGGCCUAGUUCAUCC
rnacentral:lncRNA from 1 species